GAUGAACGCUGGCGGCGUGCCUAAUACAUGCAAGUCGAGCGAAUGGAUUAAGAGCUUGCUCUUAUGAAGUUAGCGGCGGACGGGUGAGUAACACGUGGGUAACCUGCCCAUAAGACUGUGAUAACUCCGGGAAACCGGGGCUAAUACCGGAUAACAUUUUGAACCGCCUGGUUCGAAAUUGAAAGGCGGCUUCGGCUGUCACUUAUGGAUGGACCCGCGUCGCAUUAGCUAGUUGGUGAGGUAACGGCUCACCAAGGCAACGAUGCGUAGCCGACCUGAGAGGGUGAUCGGCCACACUGGGACUGAGACACGGCCCAGACUCCUACGGGAGGCAGCAGGAGGGAAUCUUCCGCAAUGGACGAAAGUCUGACGGAGCAACGCCGCGUGAGUGAUGAAGGCUUUCGGGUCGUAAAACUCUGUUGUUAGGGAAGAACAAGUGCUAGUUGAAUAAGCUGGCACCUUGACGGUACCUAACCAGAAAGCCACGGCUAACUACGUGCCAGCAGCCGCGGUAA
rnacentral:rRNA from 1 species